GUCAGUUUGGCCGAGUGGUUAAGGCGACAGACUUGAAAUCUGUUGGGAUCAUCCCGCGUAGGUUCAAAUCCUGCAGCUGACG